rnacentral:rRNA from 1 species
AUACGUAGGGGGCGAGCGUUGUCCGGAAUGAUUGGGCGUAAAGGGCGCGUAGGCGGCCCGGUAAGUCUGGAGUGAAAGUCCUGUUUUUAAGAUGGGAAUUGCUUUGGAUACUGUCGGGCUUGAGUGCAGGAGAGGGAAGUGGAAUUCCCAGUGUAUCGGGGAAAUGCGUAGAGAUUGGGAGGAACACCAGUGGCGAAGGCGACUUACUGGACUGUAACUGACGCUGAGGCGCGAAAGUGUGGGGAGCAAACAGGAUUAGAUACCCUGGUAGUCCACACUGUAAACGAUGAAUGCUAGGUGUAGGGGGUAUCGACCCCUUCUGUGCCGCAGUCAACACAAUAAGCAUUCCGCCUGGGGAGUACGGCCGCAAGGUUGAAACUCAAAUGAAUUGACGGGG